GACGAACGCUGGCGGCGUGCUUAACACAUGCAAGUCGAGCGGUAAGGCCCUUUCGGGGGUACACGAGCGGCGAACGGGUGAGUAACACGUGGGUGACCUGCCCUCAGCUCUGGGAUAAGCCUGGGAAACCGGGUCUAAUACCGGAUAUGACUCCAUGACGCAUGUUGUGGGGUGGAAAGCCUUGUGCGGCUGAGGAUGGGCCCGCGGCCUAUCAGCUUGUUGGUGGGGUGAUGGCCUACCAAGGCAACGAUCAGUAUCCGGCCUGAGAGGGCGGACGGACACACUGGGACUGAGACACGGCCCAGACUCCUACGGGAGGCAGCAGUGGGGAAUUGUUCGCAAUGGGCGCAAGCCUGACGACGCAACGCCGCGUGGAGGAUGAAGGUCUCGGAUUGUAAACUCUGUUGCCCGGGACGAAUGGCUCCAACCUAACACGUCGGAGUGUGACGGUACCGGGUGAGGAACG
rnacentral:rRNA from 1 species